rnacentral:rRNA from 1 species
UGGGGAAUUUUGGACAAUGGGCGCAAGCCUGAUCCAGCCAUGCCGCGUGAGUGAAGAAGGCCUUCGGGUUGUAAAGCUCUUUCGGUGGGGACGAAAAGGUUCGUGCUAAUACCACGAACUAAUGACGGUACUCGAAGAAGAAGCACCGGCUAACUACGUGCCAGCAGCCGCGGUAAUACGUAGGGUGCAGGCGUUAAUCGGAAUUACUGGGCGUAAAGCGUGCGCAGGCGGUUUGUUAAGACAGAUGUGAAAUCCCCGGGCUUAACCUGGGAACUGCGUUUGUAACUGGCAAGCUAGAGUGUGGCAGAGGGGGGUGGAAUUCCAAGUGUAGCAGUGAAAUGCGUAGAUAUUUGGAGGAACACCAAUGGCGAAGGCAGCCCCCUGGGUCAACACUGACGCUCAUGCACGAAAGCGUGGGGAGCAAACAGGAUUAGAUACCCCUGUAG